rnacentral:sRNA from 1 species
AGCUGAGGAAGAGAUGAAUUGGAUUCAGCGCAAGAUCUACCUUUACAAUGUGACUUUCGGUCUCUACAUGUUGGAUUGGUGGGAGCGUUGUACUUUCAGUAUCCUUUAUUACACAAUCUUUUAAAUGGAUUUCAACUCUUUCAUGUGUCUUUGCUUGUUGUUCUCUUGAAAUGCAAGAAUUUUGAGCAUUUUUAGAUAUCUAUAUGGGGGUUUCUUUGAAGUAUGCAACUAGGAUUCAUCAAUUGUUGGAAACUUGUGUUCCACGUACUUCUAAUGUAGUGAAAGCAAUAGUGGUUUACAUGUACUUUGGUUAGAAAGACAACUGAAACUAUAUUAGAAUUAUGACCAAGAGAUGAAGGGACUCCUUGAAUUCAUAUGCUGUUAUCUCUGCUGUGGCACUUCUUGUUGGAUUUCCUAAGCUUUUUGCAGAUAUUUUGGUGAUUGUAUUAAUGUGUUUUGUCGUUCGAUAUGUUACUCAGUUCUUCAAGAGGUAUGUGUGGUAAGAAACAAAAUCCAUUCUCACGUGAGGAAGCAAAUGUAGAUUGUUACUUGGAAGUUUAAAUUAGUUGCAGCCGGUGUAUUUGGUAUGGCUGACUAGGGAAUAUCUUGAUAUAGCCUGACUUAGAAUUUCUUAAAGCUACUUUUCAUGCCAACUAUACACCGUCAUGAAUCUUAUUUGAACAUUUCUUUACUUAUUUUCUUGUAUGGAUUCCGUUUGAUAUUCUUUACGUUGUAAUAAUUAUAUUAUUAUUGGGAAUGUUAGUUUAGAC